rnacentral:misc_RNA from 1 species
UUUCCGUAGGGUAAGUUACCCUCGAACGGUGUAUGAAUAACAGUGCUAACGUGUUUCUAGUGAACCUGCGGAAGGAUCAUUACAAGUUGUACCCUUCGGGGCACUUCCACCCUUGCAAACUUACUCUGUGCUUGGCGCUUCGGCGUCAACAUUUACUCUGAUAUAGUUGUCUGAGUGAAACCAAAUCGCAAA